rnacentral:rRNA from 1 species
GACGAACGCUGGCGGCGUGCUUAACACAUGCAAGUCGAACGGAAAGGCCCUGCUUUUGUGGUGUUCUCGAGUGGCGAACGGGUGAGGAACACGUGAGUAACCUGCCCUUGACUUUGGGAUAACUUCAGGAAACUGGGGCUAAUACCGUAUAGGAGCCCCUGCCGCAUGGUGGGGGUUGGAAAGUUUCGGCGGGUGGGGAUGGACUCGCGGCUUAUCAGUUUGUUGGUGGGGGAGUGGCUUACCAAGGCUUGGACGGGUAGCCGGCGUGAGAGGGUGACCGGCCACAUUGGGACUGAGAUACGGCCCAGACUCCUACGGGAGGCAGCAGUGGGGAAUAUUGCACAAUGGGCGGAAGCGUGAUGAAGCAACGCCGCGUGCGGGAUGACGGCCUUCGGGUUGUAAACCGCUUUCGCCUGUGACGAAGCGUGAGUGACGGUAAUGGGUAAAGAAGCACCGGCUAACUACGUG